UCAGGAUUUAUCAAGAAUACAAAGUGAAUCAAGGUCAUGACUCAUUCGUGGAUCAUAAGAUUGAUUCAGUGGGCUGCAAAAAGUUAAACCAAAGAGAAUGAAUGUAUCAGAGUCUAAGACACAUAACAAGGCAGCGCUUGGAAAUAAAGCAGAACCAUGCACCCAGCAACACCUUUGAUCUCAACCAUAUGGAGCUCCACCAAGCUCUGGGAAAAAAAUCUCCCUUGCCUCCACAGCCGGCCGAGGGAAGUGGAGGCCCCCAGAUGGCCGGAUACCACGGGCGCCCGCACCCUAUGGACUGAUUCGUCUUCUGAUUGGUCCCCAUCACAGAGGCAGAGGACUCGCUUCUCGCGCUGGAGGCAAAUCCAUGUCCCCGACAUUGGUGAGGUUGAUGCCUUUGGCAGCUUGGUUUUUGGGGACAAAUAUUCGAAUAAACAGACCUGACCCCGGGGGGUUUGUUUUAGAGUGGGGUCUCACCAUCAGGACAGAGCGAGUAUGUCACAGGCUGGCACAGGGGACAGGAGCUGAGCCAUCACAUCCCUUAGGCCUGCCUGGAAAG